UCCCGGCUAGCUCAGUCGGUAGAGCGUCAGACUCUUAAAUGAGUCUCCUCGAGUUCGAGGAGGUAUCUGAAUGUCGUGGGUUCGAGCCCCACGUUGGGAG
rfam:Malassezia globosa CBS 7966 mgl_sf_1.1, whole genome shotgun sequence.